rnacentral:rRNA from 1 species
GACGAACCGUGCGAACGUUAUUCGGAAUCACUGGGCUUAAAGCGCGUGUAGGCGGAUGGGAACGUCGGUAGUUGAAAGCCCCCGGCUCAACCGGGGAAGUGGUGCCGAAACGACCCGUCUGGAGGGACGUAGGGGGACCUGGAACUUCCGGUGGAGCGGUGAAAUGCGUUGAGAUCGGAAGGAACGCCCGUGGCGAAAGCGAGGUCCUGGACGUCUACUGACGCCUGAGA